rnacentral:lncRNA from 1 species
CUGGUGUGGAUCAUGAUUCGGCUUUUGAUUUAAUAACUUUCUAUUCCUUUAAAGGCAGAUCGAUUCUAGCAACUCUGCAGAGUAUCAGCUGAAAUCAUAACUGUAAGUGUUUGUUAUGAAGGAAGUGCUAGGAGCCUUAUUUCUGUCUGAGGAUUCCCUGAAAGAAAUACGUGGGCAGAUGCAACAAAAUGCAGACCCAUGAGAGCAAUUGCGUAGUGGAGAGCGCAGAGCUGCUCUCCUCUUGCACGUGCUUUAUGCUGCUGGACAUCUAGAAAUCCUGGGCAAGUGGAGAAAAGAGCAAUAAGUUAGUUGAUGAGGCAUAAAAGUGCAGAGAAAAAGAGACAGUAGCUCCAUCCUGCUCUCUGUAACUGACUAAGACAAAGGGGAGGAGAUACAGCCCAAAAUGUGCUUCCCCACAGACACAUGUUUGCCUCAUCCUGGAUGUGAAGAUCCCUCCGUAGUUCCACCCAGUGGUUAUCAUCUGCCUGAAAUCUUUAGGUAUUCCCAGGACACCUAAGAUGUAAUGAUGAACCUGGAAGUACAGUGGAAGGAAGAGAAGGUGAUGCUACUUCCAUAGUUGGCUUUUCAGGAUAAGUUGUCUCAAAGGAACCAUCCCGCUUCUUGAGAGGCUGAAAACUUCAAAGAUGAUGGCACAGACAUGGACCUGUCAUGUCAUAAGUUCAACACUCAGAAUCUUUAGCCGUGGCUGAAAAUCAGGGCCCCGAACUCUUUUUGUUUUGAAAAAGAAAGCUGUGCAAAGGGAUUGAGGAUCCCAGCUUUUGCUGCUAUAUUACUUGCUGCUUUUUUUUUGUUUUUUGCGAUACUAGACCCCUCACCACUGUUCUGAAUCAAUUGCAUUUGCUUGAACUGGCAAAGCCUUUUUUGAACAAAGCUGUCAAACUUCUGCUUCUAAUUAUGGAAUUGUAAAUUUGGUGUCUAUCUGGGGCAUAUAUGCUCCACAAAGGGGUAUUCUCCAGGGUUUUGGCAUGUUAGCAUGGGAUCUGCGAUUGUUUUCAAACACGAGGCUAUUAUUUCUACUGCUUUCUUGCAGUACUGUAGCACUGCAUCACAGAUUUUGCCAAUGACAAG